GAAACCGGGUGAUCUAGCCAUGGGCAGGUUGAAGGUUGAGUAACAUCAACUGGAGGACCGAACCGACUAAUGUUGAAAAAUUAGCGGAUGACUUGUGGCUAGGGGUGAAAGGCCAAUCAAACUCGGAGAUAGCUGGUUCUCCCCGAAAGCUAUUUAGGUAGCGCCUCGGACGAAUACUACUGGGGGUAGAGCACUGUUAAGGCUAGGGGGUCAUCCCGACUUACCAACCCUUUGCAAACUCCGAAUACCAGUAAGUACUAUCCGGGAGACACACGGCGGGUGCUAACGUCCGUCGUGGAGAGGGAAACAACCCAGACCGCCAGCUAAGGUCCCAAAGUAUUGCUAAGUGGGAAACGAUGUGGGAAGGCUCAGACAGCUAGGAUGUUGGCUUAGAAGCAGCCAUCAUUUAAAGAAAGCGUAAUAGCUCACUAGUCGAGUCGGCCUGCGCGGAAGAUGUAACGGGGCUAAGCAAUACACCGAAGCUGCGGCAAUAUCUUUUAGAUAUUGGGUAGGGGAGCGUUCUGUAAGCCGUUGAAGGUGAAUCGUAAGGUUUGCUGGAGGUAUCAGAAGUGCGAAUGCUGACAUGAGUAACGACAAAGGGGGUGAAAAACCUCCUCGCCGGAAGACCAAGGGUUCCUGUCCAACGUUAAUCGGGGCAGGGUGAGUCGACCCCUAAGGUGAGGCCGAAAGGCGUAAUCGAUGGGAAACGGGUUAAUAUUCCCGUACUUCUGACUAUUGCGAUGGGGGGACGGAGAAGGCUAGGUGGGCCAGGCGACGGUUGUCCUGGUUCAAGUGCGUAGGCUUGAGAGUUAGGUAAAUCCGGCUCUCUCUAAGGCUGAGACACGACGUCGAGCUGCUACGGCAGUGAAGUCAUUGAUGCCAUGCUUCCAGGAAAAGCCUCUAAGCUUCAGAUAGUCAGGAAUCGUACCCCAAACCGACACAGGUGGUCGGGUAGAGAAUACCAAGGCGCUUGAGAGAACUCGGGUGAAGGAACUAGGCAAAAUGGUACCGUAACUUCGGGAGAAGGUACGCUCUUGAUGGUGAAGUCCCUCGCGGAUGGAGCUGACGAGAGUCGCAGAUACCAGGUGGCUGCAACUGUUUAUUAAAAACACAGCACUGUGCAAAAUCGCAAGAUGACGUAUACGGUGUGACGCCUGCCCGGUGCCGGAAGGUUAAUUGAUGGGGUUAGCGCAAGCGAAGCUCUUGAUCGAAGCCCCGGUAAACGGCGGCCGUAACUAUAACGGUCCUAAGGUAGCGAAAUUCCUUGUCGGGUAAGUUCCGACCUGCACGAAUGGCGUAAUGAUGGCCACGCUGUCUCCACCCGAGACUCAGUGAAAUUGAAAUCGCUGUGAAGAUGCAGUGUACCCGCGGCUAGACGGAAAGACCCCGUGAACCUUUACUACAGCUUGGCACUGAACAUUGAACCUACAUGUGUAGGAUAGGUGGGAGGCUAUGAAGACGUGACGCCAGUUGCGUUGGAGCCGUCCUUGAAAUACCACCCUUGUAUGUUUGAUGUUCUAACUUAGACCCAUUAUCUGGGUUGAGGACAGUGCCUGGUGGGUAGUUUGACUGGGGCGGUCUCCUCCCAAAGAGUAACGGAGGAGCACGAAGGUGGGCUAAUCACGGUUGGACAUCGUGAGGUUAGUGCAAUGGCAUAAGCCCGCUUAACUGCGAGAAUGACGGUUCGAGCAGGUGCGAAAGCAGGUCAUAGUGAUCCGGUGGUUCUGUAUGGAAGGGCCAUCGCUCAACGGAUAAAAGGUACUCCGGGGAUAACAGGCUGAUACCGCCCAAGAGUUCAUAUCGACGGCGGUGUUUGGCACCUCGAUGUCGGCUCAUCACAUCCUGGGGCUGAAGUCGGUCCCAAGGGUAUGGCUGUUCGCCAUUUAAAGUGGUACGCGAGCUGGGUUUAGAACGUCGUGAGACAGUUCGGUCCCUAUCUGCCGUGGGCGUUGGAAGAUUGAAGGGGGCUGCUCCUAGUACGAGAGGACCGGAGUGGACGAACCUCUGGUGUUCGGGUUGUGUCGCCAGACGCAUUGCCCGGUAGCUAAGUUCGGAAUUGAUAAGCGCUGAAAGCAUCUAAGCGCGAAGCGAGCCCUGAGAUGAGUCUUCCCUGAUACUUUAAGUAUCCUAAAGGGUUGUUCGAGACUAGAACGUUGAUAGGCAGGGUGUGUAAGCGUUGUGAGGCGUUGAGCUAACCUGUACUAAUUGCCCGUGAGGCUUAACCAU
rnacentral:rRNA from 1 species